GCCCGGGAAUUACGAGCCCAAGCUUAAAACCCAAAGGACUUGACGGUGUCCCACCCACCUAGAGGAGCCUGUUCUAUAAUCGAUUAUCCCCGAUUUACCCCACCACUUCUCGAUUAUUCAGUCUGUAUACCUCCGUCGCAAGCUUACCAUGUGAACGCACCAAGUGAGCCAAAAGAUUUGACAUCCAUACGUCAGGUCAAGGUGCAACCUACGAAGCGGAAAGAAAUGGGCUACAAUCUCUAUGAUAGAACAAACGAAAGAUUACGUGAAAUACACUCAUCGAAGGCGGAUUUAGUAGUAAAAAGAAACCAGAGAGUUCUUUUUAAUUAGGCGCUGGGACGCGUACACACCGCCCGUCACCCUCUUCAAAUAACAAAACUCACGUUACUAACACCACAUGUCUAUGCAGAAGAGGCAAGUCGUAACACGGUAAGCGUACUGGAAAGUGCGCUUGGAAUAACAAAAUGUAACUUAACAAAAGUAUCCUGCUUACACCAAGAAUAUGUUAGUAAUAUCCUAACCAUUUUGAGCCUAAAAUCUAGCCCUACUAACUCAAAUGAAAUAACCAUCUUUUUUCUCACUCAAAUAAAACAUUCUCUCAACCUAGUAAAGGCGAUUAAAAAGUUCUUAGGAG
rnacentral:rRNA from 1 species